ACUCUUUCGUGGGGCUUCUUGCUCCAAAUAUGGAAGCUAGAGUGGUAGAUUGGGUUACCGGUUCCUUCUUGCCUACUAGGAGGAGCGGUGAACUUUGGUUAAGAGGACCUGCUAUUAUGAAAGCAAAAGUUUUUCAAUAUUAUGUGUUAUAAAAUUCCAGCAACAUUUUUAUUUUUAAGAUUGUAUUUUGUUCGCUGCUCAUCUUUACUUUUUUCUAGGUAAAUCAGCAUGUCGUCAAUUGUAUUAUUGUUUCUCGUAACUGAACUUAAGAAAAGUUGAGGCUUGAACAAAUUUCUGUUCAAUCCAUGCCACGUUUUGUUUAAUGAAGAAUUGGACAAAUUUUCAUCUCCAUAUGGAAUUGAACAACCUUUCAACUCCACCUGUCAUGGGAUCGAAUUACAAGCCUGUGCCAAUUUUAGUAUAUUUCCCUCUUUAUAAGGAAGAGAUGUGGAUGGAUUUGUCCUGCCAAGUUCGAAACUGUAUUGGUAACCUGUCCUGAUAUAUUUGAUGCUGGAGUAACAAUGUUGCACAAUAUAAGAAGUGAGGAAGGUGGUGUUCGCAAAGUCAAUACCUAGGUCAGCGGCUGGAAAGAUUCUCCGAGGGGAACUGAAGAGCUUGAUUCCCAAAAUUUAAAGACUAUUGGGACAUGCCCAGUUCCGAGUAGAGGUAAAAUAAUCGUUUAAGUUACUACUGGAAACCAAAAUGUUGCUCAAAGGGCAAAGCUCAGGCAGAGAUAGACCGAUCACAUUCUGUCAUCGAGAAGUUGAUGUGUCGACUAAUCUGGUUAAAUUGAAUGAGCAUUGCAUUAAAUCGCAAUAAAAUUAUAUAAAAUUUUGGGGAAUAUUGUGUUCCAAGUCAACGUGACUGGGUUGUGUCUCUUUUAAUUAGUUGUGAGUCUGAAAUUUGCCUGAUGAGAAUCACAUGACAAAAUACUUCCUUUUAAUUUUAUUUUGACAUUGGAGUCCAUAAACUAAGUACAAAGUGGGAGGGAAAGCUCAGCAAGAGUAAGGUGGAAUGGUGGAUGAUAGACGUACUCAAUAUAUUCAAUUCAGGAAUUGGAAGGUAUGCUUGGGGGGCGAUAGUUUGUAUCCCCUUUUUAUUGUGUGGAGAGAGGGAUAAAGGCAGGAGGAAGGUGGCUGUUUGAGUGUACAAGGUUCACCCUUUUAAAGCGCUUAUGCUUGUAUUUUUUCAUUCUACUGCCAAUAGUUGACAGGUUAGUCAUGUUCACAUGUUUACAGUUAGUAGUAGAACUUCAUCUCUUCUGUAUAUUUUGGAGUAUAACUUUUUUUUCUCUGCUGCAACUUGCUAUAUUAGCUUUACCAGAUCUACGUGUGAAUCGUCUACACAAUGGAUCAACUAUACUAGAUAAGCAUUCAAGACAUACCCAAGUCUUUCUUCACCAAUUCAUUUGUUUAAUUAUUUCAUGGUAGAAAACCUCUUUUAAGUGAUAGACAUGGAAACCGAACUGUUGCCUAAUUUAAAUUUCAGCCUUUUCGGUUGCUCUAGAAUGCCAUGUAUAUUCAACAUGACAAAUUGGGCUUAUUUUCCUGUUGAAUGCAUAAUAACAUAUGUUAGGAGCUAAUUCUUAUUCCAAAUCAAUUUUGGCAGCUACUCAAUUUGCAAAUUGUUCGUACUUUGCUAGAAGAAUUAGAAUCGUCCCCAAAUCUUUUAUCAUAUUCGUCCCGAAAUCUUGAAUCAAGAAAAAUUGGAGAAAAAAAAAGUGAUGUAAUUAACAACCCCAAGAUAUGCACACAUACAUAAAUAUGCAAUAAAUCUAUGGUUAUGUAGGUAAGUAUAUAAAUGCGGCAGACUAUGUUGGGCCCGGCCCUCUGGCCCUGGUUUCCCAAGCUCCGAGAUUUGAAACUUUUAUUUUGUAUAUACCUGAUUUUGAAUAUUAUUAAUAUUUUUUUUGAAAAAGAUUGAUACUUAUUCGUUUAUAACUACUUAUAAUUUUAAUAAUUUGACUUGAUUUGAUUUAGAAACUGGUUAUUUUAUAUUCUUAUUUUUUAAUUUUUUAAUAAAUAAAAAAUAAACACGUGACAGUUGAAGUGGUCUAAAGGAAAUCCAAAAUGAUUGGUAUGGUUUAACUGCAUUACGCUAUAAUUAUUUCAAUGUACAAAUGUAAUGUAUUGGAAAGUAUAAAUUUCAUGAUUUAUUAGAAUAUGUUUCGAUAAAAAAUAUAUGUAUUUAUUAAGUUGGCUAUUCGGG